rfam:Picea glauca, whole genome shotgun sequence.
UACAACAUAGAGUUAAUGCACCAGAUCCCAUUAUAACUCCACAAUAAAGUGCACUUAGGCCAGAGUAGUACUAGGAUGGGUGACCGAUGGGGAAGUCCUAGUGUUUUAC